GACGAACGCUGGCGGCGUGCCUAAUACAUGCCAGUUGAGCGCUGAAGGUUGGUACUUGUACCAACUGGAUGAGCAGCGAACGGGUGAGUAACGCGUGGGGAAUCUGCCUUUGAGCGGGGGACAACAUUUGGAAACGAAUGCUAAUACCGCAUAAAAACUUUAAACACAAGUUUUAAGUUUGAAAGAUGCAAUUGCAUCACUCAAAGAUGAUCCCGCGUUGUAUUAGCUAGUUGGUGAGGUAAAGGCUCACCAAGGCGAUGAUACAUAGCCGACCUGAGAGGGUGAUCGGCCACAUUGGGACUGAGACACGGCCCAAACUCCUACGGGAGGCAGCAGUAGGGAAUCUUCGGCAAUGGACGAAAGUCUGACCGAGCAACGCCGCGUGAGUGAAGAAGGUUUUCGGAUCGUAAAACUCUGUUGGUAGAGAAGAACGUUGGAGAGAGUGGAAAGCUCAUCAAGUGACGGUAACUACCCAGAAAGGGACGGCUAACUACGUG
rnacentral:rRNA from 1 species